AAUUAGAGAACUUUUCUGGAAACAGGCAUAAAUAUUUGGUAUACUUAAAUAUAUUAUUUAAUUCUCUCCAGAACUAACUUGUAAAAAUAAAAGUGAAGAAAACAUUAGGCAGCUUUUCAAUUUAUUUUAGGUCUUAAAUUGAGAUAAAUAAUCAGAUACACGACAAAGCAACUUUGGUAGUCGCUGGAUGAUGCAGACACCUGUGCAGUCGGGGCUGUAAAGGAAUUUUUAUUAGGCUGAUGGAAAACCAGUAUUGAAUUCAGUUGCUGAAUUUCAACCAAUUUAAAUAAAUUAGCUGACCUAUAAGUGACGUAACCCUAAAUUUCCCAAUGCAGCUGCCAGAAAUCUAUUUUCCAAAUGAAACAACAGAUGGUUUUGAACAAUACUGCAAUAUAGCAAUUUUCAGUUAUUCCAAAGCGUUUUUCUCUUGCUAAAAUUAUAAAAAUAAUUGAGAAAAUAAUUUUCAGAUUUUUUCUGAAAGAUUGCUAUUUUCAAAGUGAAAGCAAAGUUUAAUAUCCUAGUGAUGUUUUUAGCAUUAUCUUCAGAAAUUGCUCUAUUUGCUAGUUUUUAUUUAUCUAAAACAACACAUGGCAGAGUGUAACCUUGCCCUCAUUUUAGAACUAAUUUAAUGCUCUUGCAGUGCUCGCAAGCACUUCAAGAUGUAUCUUUCCAUGUGAUAAUGUCCAACUCACAGUAUGCAUUUAGUUAAAAACUUCAUCAUUCUGGAAGGAUGAGACCAACAGGCCAAUUAAGCCUGAUGUGAAAGAUAUUUAUAACCUAUAAACCUCUGUAAAUAAUUGAAGAACUGUUCGUUUCUUCAAAUACCACCAUGAACAAAGUAAAUAAAGUCCAUCCCGAAUGAGGCUAACCCCAAAAGAAGCUUAACCUUUCAGGUGAAACAUCCCAAGUUCCUUAAACUGUUCUUGGCAAAUAAAUGACUCCGCUUUCUACUCACUGAUUUAACUGAGAACAUCUGUAAGUCCUCAGCCUUCCUUUUCCAGCUCAUUACCUCUCCAGUGCCACACAGGAGAGUCUGGGCUUUGGAUCUGGGCUGCCCGGAGUUAGUACUGGCACCAUCACUUACGACCGGGGAGAUCCCGAGCAGGACAACCUAAAGCCUCUCAAUCUCAAAUUCCUCACAUUCCACCUGCUAACCAUACCGACCUGAUGGGGCUGCUGUGGACUAAAUACACUUAGUGAACACACACAAAGAACUUCCAACAUGCCAUGUAUGAGACUCCUGUCACAUCUCACAUAGACCUCAUCCGUGUUGUCUCAAGUAAAUUUCAGAAGGCGAGCCUUUGCUGUAAAUGUAAAGAAAAAUCCCAGAUUUGACUCAAUUGCUUGUUUCAGAAGACCAAAAGCUGUUCACCAGGGGACAGGGAUGCUCAGGCACUGGAGCAGGGACAGACAGGCCGCACGGGCAGCAGACAUCUGUGUGAAUGCAUUCUUAAGGUCAGAAGAGUGAAGGGACGAACAGCCUGAGUUUUGGUUUGGUCAUGAGACCUUUGAUUAGUCUCUAAAAUAUUCUGGGUCUCCGUUUCCUUAGCUGUUUCCGUGAGGAACUAAGGAUUCAGUCUGAUUCUCGUGAGGAGACGCUGCUAUCACACACAGACCCCACGAGUUGUUUUGGCGGGAAAGGCAGAAGCUGAGUGUGGCUGCAGAGACCGAGAGUCCCACAGUUGUCAGCCCACCUCCAGUGUGACCAU